CUGGUUGAUGUUCCCCUCGAUGACGGUGACGUCACUGCAGCUCAAGAGCUGAACCACACACUUCCUGAACUGAGGGGAAUCACAGGGAAGAGAAAUGUUUCUGAACAGGAGAGCUCUUCCUGACGAGUGUGGACAGCAUCCAUAUGUCAGCGUUUGAAUGGAGGAAACCAGCGGCUAAACUGACAGCUAGAGCUCAGCGGGAUGACGGAAAGACGCGGCGCUGCCAGACACUGUUUACGUCCAAUAACCUCCACAGCUGCUCAAUAAUUCAGCAUCUUCUCCUUUGGAGCGCGCCGGGUUUGAUCCAAACCGCAGAUGAUGGGAUUGUAAACCGCUGCGGUUUUGGAGAAGAACGCUGGAGCGGCUGCCAGCCGUGGGUCCAGGUACAUGCUGGGACAGGCCGUAACGACGAUGGAGAAGGCGGCGUACGGAGUCCAGGCCAC